ACAGAGGUCCCAAGCGUUGUUCGGAUUCACUGGGCGUAAAGGGUGCGUAGGUGGUCGGGUAAGUCUGAUGUGAAAUCUCGGAGCUCAACUCCGAAACGGCAUUGGAUACUAUUCGGCUGGAGGGUUGGAGGGGGGACUGGAAUUCUCGGUGUAGCAGUGAAAUGCGUAGAUAUCGAGAGGAACACCAGUGGCGAAGGCGAGUCCCUGGACAACUCCUGACACUAAGGCACGAAAGCUAGGGGAGCAAACAGGA
rnacentral:rRNA from 1 species